rnacentral:tRNA from 1 species
GUUUAAUUAGCUUAUUUAAAGCUUAGGACUCUUAAACCUAAAGCAGACAGUAACCACCCCGUCAUUAAACA